GUCCACACCGUAAACGAUGGAUACUAGGUGUCCGGGACUUCGGUCCUGGGUGUCCAAGGGAAACCGAUAAGUAUCCCACCUGGGGAGUACGUCCGCAAGGAUGAAACUCAAAGGAAUUGACGGGGCCCGCACAAGCGGUGGAGCAUGUGGUUUAAUUCGAUGAUACGCGAGAAACCUUACCUGGGCUAGAAUGCCCCUGACAGGCCGUGAAAGCGGUUUUUCCUUCGGGACAGGGUGCAAGGUGCUGCAUGGUUGUCGU
rnacentral:rRNA from 1 species